AUGUGGAUGUAUUCGGGUCUAGAAGACUCCACUCGGAUCUACCCGGAGGAGGUCGAUGACGACACGCUGGAGAAGUGGCUGUCGAGCAUUACCGGGAACAAGGACAAUCCCAGAGGAGCCAGGAGAGUUCUCCCAUUUGACCAGUCGCGUGCGCCAGAGCAGGCCAUUACUGAAAUGUAUUCGAUGCCCAACGGGGAGCAAGAGCAAGCUCUGGAAGGCGAGGCGAGUGGUGGCGAAAGUGGCGAGUGGACUUCUGAUGGUGAAGGGGAUGGUGGAAGUGACGACUCAAGUGAUGGGGAAGAAGUCGAGUCGCCUCCUCACAUAGAGAGAUGA
rnacentral:rRNA from 1 species